rnacentral:tRNA from 1 species
UGGUAAGAAAAGGAUUUUAACCUUCGUUGUUGGGGCUACAAGCCACCGCCUAUCUCUUGGCUACCUUACC